rnacentral:lncRNA from 1 species
GGGGAAUUGCUUUGCUAGUGUUUGCAGCAAACACUUCUAUCACAGAGGCUUAAACUGUCCUGCUGUCUCUCUGCCCGCCUGUUUGCUGUCUCCAGUCAGCUAGAACAUGCUGACCACUUCCUACUAGUCUCAACAGAGACAUUAAAAUGCCAAAAAAAAAGAAUUUUAUUCUUGCAAGAAAAUGUGUGAAGGGGGAGAGACCCACGCUUGGGCUGCCACCAAGAGAAAACCUUCAGCGUGCUCAGCCCCCUUGCCAGACACCGAAAAGCCACAGAAGAGGACCGGCACCCCACAGGGCCCCCAGACAGAGCCAGCAACACCUGGUGCCUCUCCUACCUCCAGAACCAAGGCUACUGCUUUGUUUCAGCGCCUCAGCUGGGCUGGCCAGCAGAGAGAAACGCCCCAGCAGGGCAGAGACCCCGGGACAGUGCGGUAGGUGGGAUCUGACACUAAAUGCUGCCACGCUUUGUCCUUCCCUAGCAUCUGUUAAUAAAUUAAUGUCUUUGCCUUUCUCCUGAAAAUCACUGCUGCACCAGCAAUGAAGACUCAGGAGCCUUCAUCGCAGAGCUUGUGCUUACAAACCUGUGUGCAAAAGCUGAAACGUGGGAAUUCCUGACCGGGAAGCGGGAGGGGGCUGCCAGUUCCUAUCAGCCACCAGCCGUCGGGGCAUGUGCAGAAAAUGCUGAUUUCCUCCAGGACCUUUGCACAUCAGCCUGGGUGAAGCAGCUCAUUAAAUGCAACUAAUUGCUGCAGUCAGUUGUGACAUGAAUUUUUCAAGGUUAAUUUAGCUUAGCACUAAGAGUCCUCCAUUUAUCUCCAAAGAGGGUGAGCCGCACCUGCCAGGCAGCCACCCCUAUGCUGCAUCUCCCCUCUGCAGACCCUCCAGAGCCAGGAGAUCCGAUUUGGAGCAUCCUCAGGGACCGCUGCGAGGGAGCGUGGGGGAAACCUGACCCAGGGAAGGCAAAGGUGUGGUACCACAGUGCUGUGCUUGAUGCGUGCACCAGCCUUGCUUUGUCCUGAAUGAUUCCUUCAAGAGUCCUUUCAGCCGUUUGCACAACUUACAGGAACACUGGGGAAAGCAGAGGCUGAAACGUGAAGAGUUCACUAAAACUUCCAGGUUCAACUCCCUGAUCCCAUCGCCCCCUAACCAUAAAGUUUCCAUAAAAAAUUC